GAGAGAAAUUCUUAGGAAUUAAUCUCAGAAAUGAAGUAAAAUACCUAUAUAGGGUAAAUUAUAAUACCCUGAAAAAGAAAUCAAAGUUGGUCUCAGAAAAUGGAAAGACAACCCUUGCUCAAGGAUAGGAAGAAUAAAUAUAGUGAAAAUGGCCAUUCUCCCAAAACUGUUAUAAAGAUUCAGUGCAAUCCCAAUAAAAAUACCAUCAACAAACCACAUAGAUCUAGAAAAAUCACUCCUAAAAUUUAUCUUGAACCAGAAGAGAACUGGAAUGGCAAAAGCAGUUCUAAGCAACAAAGGCAAGGCAGGAGGCAUCACAAUCCCUAACUUGAAGUUAUAUGACAAAACUACUGUAAUAAACUCAACAUGGUUUUGGAAUAAAAACAGAUCUGACGAUCAAUAGAAUAGAUUAGAUUAUACAAUCACAACUACCGACACACUCAACUACUUUAUCUUUAAUAAAGUGGCCUAACAUGUUCACUGGAAGAUCAAUAGUCUUUUUAAUAAAUGGUGCUGGAAAAACUGGCUUUCCAUAUGCUGAAAACUAAAACUAUUCCCAUGGCUAUCACCAUGUACUAAACUAAAUUCUAAAUAGAUCAAAGAUCUGACAGAAACACUAAAUCUGUUGGAAGACAAAUUAGGUAAAAAUCUUGACGACAUUGGGGUAGAUAGAAAAUUCAAGAACAGGAAUCAAAGUGCAUGGGAAAUACUUCGCAGAAUCAAUAACUGGGAUCACAUAUUAUUAACAUGUUUCUGCAUAUUAAAAGAAAUAUUCAGCAGAGUGAAAAGAAAACCCACAAACUGGGAAAAAAAUCUUAGUGAACUGUCCCUCAGAUAAAGGAUUUCUCUCUAAAACAUGUUAAGAAAUUUAAAAAAAAAAUCAGACUCCAAAAAUUCAAAGACCCAAUCCAAAAAUGGCAUCUGAGAUGAAUACUCAGUUCUCAGAUGAAGAAAUACAAAUGGCAAAUAAAUACAUGAAAAAAUGUUCAUCAUCAUUGAUCAUUAGAGAAAUGCCAAUUAAAACCACACUGACAUUCCAUCUCAUUCCAGAAAGAAUGGCCAGGAUCAAGAAAACUACCAACAACAAAUGCUGGAGUGACUGUGGGGGAAAAGGAACUGGUUUAGACUGGUGCAAUCAUUAUGGAGAUCAGUCUGGAGAUUCUUCAAGAAUCUGGAAUUGGAAUUCCCAUUCGACCCAGCUAUUCCACUUCUAGGCAUAUUCCCAGAGGAACUGAAAAUAUCAUACAACAGUGAUAUAUGUGUACCCAUGUUGAUAGCAGCACAAUUUGUAAUAACCAGAUCUGGAAACAACCUAAUUGUCCAUUAACUGAAGAAUGGAUAAAAAAGGUUGUGGUAUUUUUUAUGCAAUGGAGUACUCCUGGGCUAUAAAGAAUGAUCACAUUGAGAUAUUUAUAAAUAAAUGGACGCAACUUGAGACCAUACUCAUAAGUCACACUCACAACAAAGACCAGGGCUAUCCUGAAAGGCACCACAGGUGUCCUCAGUGACACGGAGGCCCUGGGCUCCUCCGAGGACAAGCACUGUCAGGUAUGUGCCAGGAAGCAGCAUGACAAAUUCAUCCUGGAGGCCAAGCAGCAUAUGUCUCCCCCUCCAAAGCCAGGAAGCAAUGCUCGAUUGGACCAAACCUCUCCAAGGGAACCAACAGCUCAGACAGCAAAUCGUAGGAGAACCCACAAUGGCUCCCUAACACCUCAACCCUCAUCUCCCUUCUUCUACACCUAUUUAUCCUGAAAACUUUCCUCAGGUGGAGCAACUUCAUUCAGUGCCAUGCUGAUAUAAUCCAGCUGGCAUUAAGUUGACCACCAGUUCUCAAUCCAUAGCAUUGAUUUUACUAUGGUUGCUUUGUAGUAUAACUUCAAGUCAGGGAUUGUGAUGCCUCCUGACUUGUCUUUGUUGCUGAGAACUUUCUUUGCUAUUCUAGGUCUCUUCUCACUCCAGAUGAAUUUUAGGAGUGAUUUCUCUAGAUCUAUGAGGUAACAAAACAUGAAUCAUGGAUGGACACAGAGUGAUAUUCAAAGAUUUGAGUUCAACAUGCUUGCCUUAAUCUGUAAAUAUUGAUGUGAUAUGCAUUGAUUACAUCUUCAACAUGAGGUUAUAGUGGAGCUGACAGAGAAGAAGCAAUGAAUGUCCCUUGGUGCAGACUGGACAGUCAUAUUCCAGAUGUCCAACAGCUAAGGUUUAACCAAACAAAAAGGAGGGAUAUGUUAGAGCCAUUGAAGCUGAAUACUCAUGCAGGGCUGUGAUGUGGCCCAGGCAUGAUUAAACUGAGAAUGAAGAGAUGCCUCCUGGGACAAGACAGGCCACAGCUGAGGCCACCUAGAUAUUUUCUGUGGGAUAGUUCUCUGCAGUUGGCAUCAUCUGUUUCUCUGAGGGGUCUUGAACCUCUACCAAGAUCCUUAUCAGGUUUCCUCCAUUGUCCACUCAACUCCUGCCAGCAUGAGUUGGCCAGCUGGCUAGCAGAGUGAUGAGCUCUGCCAUGGAUCACUCUUCUCAUGCAGCCCUGAAGACCAUGUUGUGUUUCUCAUUUCUUAGAGCCUUCUUGGGACCCUUUAUUGCCAUCUUGGUGCCUAAGAAAAGACCCCAACAUGAAAUAUAAAAUGUAUCUGUUUUAAAGACUCAGCACUGAAAUCUGGUAUUGUUGGAUGAUGACAGGACCAAGUAUCAAACCUGUUUAAGACAAUUCAAGUAUAUAGAAGUUGUUCUUUUGCACUGUAUUUUUUUUUUUGGUUCACCAAUGCCAAAUCCUCUUACAUGACACAACUUUCCUCAAGACAUUUCCAAUCCAAUCAAUGACCUACAUCUGAAUUAUUUUCUGUAGGACACACACAUAGAUACGCAGGUUUUAUGAUAUGUCUCCACCCAGUCAUCCUGAUGAGAAAAUUAACAUUCUGGAGCCAUCUCAGGCCAGAGAGGAGAAACAGAAAUCUAAUUUUCCCUUCCUGUGAGCUGGUGGAAGUCAUAAGGGGAAUGGUGGAAAACUAGCCAACAUGCCCAUGUUGUGAUUCUGUGGAAGCUAUUCCAUUUCUCAGAAGAAAAGCAAGAAACUUACACUUCCUGUGAGCUAACUACUGUAUUGGCUGGGAGAGGAGCACCACAAUCACCUCCUCCCACCACCAUCUGACUGGUUUAGAGGACAUGCUGAGUUGAUAGCAAUGGAGGUAUAAAAACAACUUAAUCCUUGUAUUACUUGAUUGACUUUGCAGCCUAAGGAUAGUAUUCUUAAGCAUGUAUUUAAAUUGUGAAAUAAUGGUAAAAAAAAGUUGCAACAACUUCAUAAGUAUAUGAAACUUAACACUCUCCUAAACACCCAAUGGGUAACAGAUGAAAAAAGGAAGAAACUUAAAAAUAUCUACAACCUAACAAGAAUAUAGAUGCAAAAUCCUGUACCUUAUGGGAUUCAAUGAAAGCAGUCCAAAUAAGGAAAUUUAUAGUAGUCAAAUCUCACAUCAGGAAAUAGAAAGAACACAAACAAAUAAUGAAGUGUUGCAUCUCAAUCUUCCAGAAGAAGAAUGGCAAGACAAACACAAAUCCCAUACAAGGGAGGAAAUUAUAAGACCAGACAAGAAAGUCAUGCAAUGCAGAACAAGAAAAAUAUUCAAAGGAUUAACAAAUCAAACAGGUGGUUCACUGGAAGAAUAAACAAAAUUGAUUAACCCUUGGACAAUCAUAUCAAAAAAGAAAAAAAUAAAGAUUGAAAAACCAUGCACUGAGGAAUCAGAAGGAUAAAAUAACUACAGAUCUUGUGAAAAUUCAGAAGAUCAUCAAAAUCUACUGGAAAAAUGUAUACUUUCAUAGGUUAGAAAAUAUAGAAAUGCACCGAUACCUAGAUAAAUAUGAAAUGCCAAUUCUGUUCCAAGAAGAUAUAAAAAUUCUGAAAAACACAGUAUCAGUUAAUGAGAAUGAAGAUUUAAUAAAAAUUUAUCAGCUGCUGGGAAUGGUGGUACAGAACUUUGGAGGCUAAGGUACAAGUAUUGUUUUGAGUUUGAGACUAAACAAGGCUACAAAGUGAGCUCAAGGCCAACUUGAACUGAAUGAGAGCUGGUCUCAUGAGCACAUUGAAAAAUAAGAAAAACAAUGACAACAGAAAAGCAAAUGAUCAACAUAAAAAAAGUCUAGGUCCUGGUGGAUUUACUGCUGGAUUCUACAAUAAAUGUAGAAAAAAAAUUUAAGGCCACGGCUGUUUAAUGAUAUUGAAAGAGAAGCUCUUCUCCCUAACUCAUGCCUUGAGGCAAGUAUUACCCCGAUACUAACACCAGAGGAAGACCCAACCAAAAGAAGAAAACUAUGGGACAGUUUUCCUAAUGAACAUAGAAGCAAAAGUCCUUGACAAGACACUAGCAAAGUGAAUGUAGCAAAUAAUAAAGAAGAUUUUAAAACCUGACCAACUUGGAUUCAUCCCAGGAAGGCAGGGAUGUUUCAGUACAUGCAAAUCAACAAAUUUAAAUGUCAUAUCAACACAGGCAAAAACAAAAGUCACAUGGUGAUCAUCUCAAUAAAUGCACAAUAAGCUUUUGAUAAAGUCAAGCACUGAACUGUGAUAAAACCCUACAGUAAAUAACAACAGAUGACCUUUACCUCAAGCUGAUAAAAUAAAAUAAUGACGGGGCUGGGGAUUUAGCUCAGUGGCAUAAGCACCUGCCUUGCAAUUGUGUGGUCAUGAGUACAAUUACCAGUACCAAUAAAAAAGAAAAUGACAAAAAAUUCAGACAAUGACAAAGAAAACCCCGCAUCAUACUAAAUGGAGAAUAACUGAAAACUUUCAUUCUACAGUUAUAAAAGGACAUGGAUGACUACUAUGACCACUCCUAUUCAAUAUAGCUCUGGAAACACUAGACAAAACAAUUAGACAUAAGAGAGAAAUAAGAAUAAGUAUAUAAUAGAAAAUAGUUAAAUUAUCAUUAUUCAAAGAUGAUAUGAUAUUCUAAAUAGAAGAUGCUGAAAACUCCACCAAAACAGUCCUAGAAUUAAUAAGCAAAUUCAAAAAUGUAGCUGGAGACAAAGUUGACAAUCAAAAAUCAAUAGAUUCCUGUACACAAUCAACAAACUCACCAAGAGAGAAGUUACAGAAACCACACCAUUUAAAAUAUCCUCCAAGUAAAUGAAAUACUUGGAAAGAACCUAACAAAGAAAGUAAAGUACUUACAUAUUGAAAAUUAUAGUACUUUGGAAAUGAUAUUGAAGAUUAUCAGAAAAUAGAAAAAUAUCCCCUGCCCA